AAUCGAGUUUGAGCGUUGUCGCAAUUAUUGGGCGUAAGGGCGUGUAGGCGGGAUGGUUAGUCAGAUGUGAAAGCCCUGGGCUUAACCCAGGAAGUGCAUUUGAUACUACCAUUCUUGAGUAUGGGAGAGGAGAGUGGAAUUCCCAGUGUAGAGGUGAAAUUCGUAGAUAUUGGGAGGAACACCCGUGGCGAAGGCGACUCUCUGGACCAAUACUGACGCUGAGACGCGAAAGCGUGGGGAGCAAACAGGAUUAGAUACCCUGGUAGUCCACGCCGUAAACGAUGAGAACUAGGUGUAGCGGGUAUUGACCCCUGCUGUGCCGAAGUUAACGCAUUAAGUUCUCCGCCUGGGGAGUACGGCCGCAAGGCUAAAACUCAAAGGAAUUGACGGGGACCCGCACAAGCGGUGGAGCAUGUGGUUUAAUUCGACGCAAACCGCGAAAGAAACCUUACCUGGAUUUUGACAAUCCUUCUGUUACCCAAUGGAAACAUGGUUUUUUAUGCUUGCAAUAAACUGAGUGACCAGGUGCUGCAAUGGCUGUCGUCAGCAUCGUGUCGUGAGAUGUUGGGUUAAGUCCCAGCAACGAGCGCAACACCUUGUUUUUAGUUGCCAUCUUUAAGUUGGGCACUCUAGAAAUACUGCCUCGGUUAACGGGGAGGAAGGUGGGGAUGACGUCAAGUCCUCAUGGCCUUUAUAUCCAGGGCUACACGCGUGCUACAAUGGGCUGUACAAAAAGUUGCCACUUCGCGAGAAGGAGCUAAUCUCAAAAAGCAGUUCUCAGUUCGGAUUGGAGUCUGCAACUCGACUCCAUGAAGUUGGAAUCGCUAGUAAUCGUGGAUCAGCAUGCCACGGUGAAUACGUUCCCGGGUCUUGUACACACCGCCCGUCACACCACGAAAGUCGGCUGUACCAGAAGUUGCUGGGCUAACCCUUCGGGAAGCAGUACUAAGUACGUCGUAA
rnacentral:rRNA from 1 species